GUGUGCUGGUCGAAGUCCCGGACUUCGAAGCCGAAGCCGAAGCGCUGGCCGG
rnacentral:tRNA from 1 species